AGGGUGCACGGUGGAUGCCUAGGCUUGCAACAGCGAUGAAGGACGCGACUAAUCAGCGAAAUGCUUCGGGGAGGUGAUUUGUAACCUUUGAUCCGGAGGUAUCCGAAUGGGGAAACCCGGCCAGUAAUGGUCACUCAAGACUUAAUGAUUUUGAGAGCUCACCCAGGGAAGUGAAACAUCUCAGUACCUGGAGGAAAAGAAACUAACCAGUAUUUCCUAAGUAGCGGCGAGCGAAACGGAAAAAGCCCAAACCGAGCUACAUUCAUACGAUGUACUGAGCGCGCAAGCGCGAAUGUAUGUUGUGUGAAUGUUGCUCGGGGUUGUAAGGCAGUAACAUAGUUUUAACUAGAGGAGUCAAAAAUUAUAAUAAUAAAUGAAGUUGUUGGAAACCAACGCCAUAGCAGGUGAUAGCCCUGUAAUUGAAAUUAUUGUAACUCUUUUGUUACUGUUCUUGAGUACUUCGAGACACGAAUAGCUCGGAGGAAUCCGCCGGCACUAACCGGCAAGGCUAAAUACUCUUUUAGAUCGAUAGUGAACUAGUACCGUGAGGGAAAGGUGAAAAGAACCCCGAUUAGGGGAGUGAAAUAGACCUGAAACCGUAUGCUUACAAGGAGUCGGAGCGGACACGAUUUAUCGUGAUCCGUCACGGCGUGCCUAUUGAAGAAUGAGCCAACGAGUUUAUGCAUGCUGCAAGGCUAAGUUGUUUUGCAACGCAGUCGUAGGGAAACCGAGUGUUAAUAGCGCGACUAAGUAGUAUGCAUAAGACCCGAAGCCAGGUGAGCUACCCAUGUGCAGGAUGAAGUUCGCAGAAAUGCGGAUGGAGGUCCGAACCGGUGAGCCGUUCAACACUCUCGGAUGACAUGUGGGUUGGAGUGAAAAGCUAAUCGAACCUGGUAAUAGCUGGUUGUCUCCGAAAUAGCUUUAGGGUUAGCGUCAUGUGUUCCCUCUGGGGGUAGAGCACUGGAAGAUUUCGACAGGGCGCAAGCUCGCGAAAUCUAUCAAACUCCGAAUACCAGAGGUCAGAGCAUGGCAGUUAGACAGUGGGGGCUAAGCUCCACGCGUCAAAAGGGAAACAGCCCAGAUCUCUAAAUAAGGUCCCUAAAUCUACGUUAAGUGCAAACUAAGGAUGUGAAAUUUCUCUGACAAUGAGGAUGUUGGCUUAGAAGCAGCCAUCAUUUAAAGAAAGCGUAACAGCUCACUCAUCGAGAGAUUCUGCGCCGCAGAUAAUCGGGGCUAAACGUAGUACCGAAUUUGAGGAUUUAUAGUUUUUUCGAAAAUUGUAAGUGGUAGGAGACUAUUCCAUUCCGGCUGAGAAGGAGAAGGCGUGAGCCACUCUGGAGCGUAUGGAAGUAAAAAUGUUGGCACAAGUAACCGCAAGGAAGGUGAGAUCCCUUCCCGCCGAAAGACUAAGGUUUCCUUUGCUAUGAUAAUCAGCGAAGGGUUAGUCGGGCCUAAGGAGAUGGCGAAAGCCGCAUCCGAUGGACACAUGGUUAAUAUUCCAUGACUUCUAAUCUGUGCGAUGGGAGGACGGAGUGUAGUAUGUAUAGCUCAUUAUUGGAUUUGAGUUUGUGCUGUGAGUGUUGUGCGUAGGAAAAUCCGCGUACUGCCUUAGAUGGCAUAAUGCAAGCAGAGCAGAAAUGUGUGGGUUCGCCCAUGCAGAUUGUACAAAGCACGCUUCCGAGAAAAUUCCCUAAGCUUAACAGAUGAGAAACCGUACCGUAAACCGACACAGGUAGUCAGGUCGAGUAGACCAAGGCGAACGAGUGAUUAAUCCCCAAGGAACUCGGCAAAAAAGCAGCCGUAACUUUGGAAUAAGGCUUGGCGUCCGCAAGGACGCCCGCAGCGAAAGAUUCUCUGGCAACUGUUUAUCAAAAACACAGCUCCCUGCGAACACGUAAGUGGAUGUAUAGGGGGUGACACCUGACCAAUGCGAGAAGGUCAACCAGCGGCGGUGUGUGCAUCACAUUGCAUGUGAUGCAGUAGUUUAGAACAUAGUAUCUUAGUAGAUUAGACAAAUGCGAAAUGCAUUUUCUAACAUACUAAUUUCUAACAUACUAAAAUACUGUCAUCAUGCGUAGCGUGAUGUACAUGCUGACUGUUGUAAGCCCUCGUGAAUGUCGGCCGUAACUAUAGACAUGACCGUUGUAGUUACGCAAAAAAAUCUUGCCAAAUGCUGGAAACACUGGUUAGUAUUCAUUACUACUCAUUCCCCGUCGAGGGAAAAGUAACAAUGUAAUGAUGCAGUCAAUCAGCAGGAAAGACUUCUACUACAAAAAUUUCUAAAUGAAUCAAGAAGAAAAAUGGCUUAAAAAUAUCACUCCAAAAGAUGGAUACUAUAUAGCUGGUUUUACAGACGGAGAGGGAAGUUUCAAUAUUUCCCUUAAAAAAAGAAAUGAUUAUGUAGGAGAAUGGAAAAUUACAGCUUCGUUCAAUAUUUCUCAAAAAGACAGAGUUAUCCUUGCAUGGAUCAAAAAAAUCCUUGGAUGCGGAACUCUGCGAGAAAGAGCGGAUGGAGUUGUUUAUUACGAAGUGACAAACGUCGCAUCACUAAAAGAAAAAAUUAUUCCAUUCUUUGUUAAAUUUAACUUUAUUUCUUCAAGAAAAAAGACAAAUUUUGCAAUCUUCAAACAGAUUGUGGAAAUUAUGUCGAGCGGAGAACAUCUCACAAAAGAAGGAUUUGAAAAA
rnacentral:rRNA from 1 species